UACGUAGGGGGCGAGCGUUGUCCGGAAUCAUUGGGCGUAAAGCGCGUGUAGGCGGCUCGGUAAGUCUGCUGUGAAAGUCCAGGGCUCAACCCUGGGAUGCCGGUGGAUACUGUCGAGCUCGAGUCCGGAAGAGGCGAGUGGAAUUCCUGGUGUAGCGGUGAAAUGCGCAGAUAUCAGGAGGAACACCAAUGGCGAAGGCAGCUCGCUGGGACGUGACUGACGCUGAGGAGCGAAAGCAUGGGGAGCGAACAGG
rnacentral:rRNA from 1 species